AACGGGGGGGGGCUAGCGUUAUUCAUCAUUACUGGGCGUAAAGGGUACGUAGGCUGUUUAUUAAGUUUAAAUUAAAAAAUCAAGGCGUAACUUUGAAAUUAAUUUUAUACUGAUAAACUAGAGGUUAUUUGAAGAAAGUUGUAUUCUUAGUGUAAAAGUAAAAAUUUGACAAUUAUUAAGGAGACAUCUAACUGGCGAAAAGCGGGCUU
rnacentral:rRNA from 1 species